rnacentral:lncRNA from 1 species
UAAACAAAUAUCUAACAGUCUGCAUCUAAUGUAUUGAAUAAAUCAAAUUAAAAACAGCAUUGUGUAUCUGUAGAGGGCGCCAUCACCCACCUCUCCUCACCGGAAGCCAGCAGAGGAGAAGAAGAAGAAUCUCUCCUCCCGCCCCUUCAAACGUUGUUGUUGGAUUGCUGCUGCGCUGCAUGCGCGAGAAGUGCUUCACUUCCGCACACUAAUAUGAACAGUAUAUACGAAGACCACAGCUAAAGACCACAGCUAUCCGGAGAAAAAUGAUACAGUUAUCACUUUUCGUCCACAAGAGUCAGUUUUUGAACGAUGGAGUCAGAUCCCACUUGAAAUCAAAAAGGAGGCUGGACAGCGGAUGAAAAUCUGUGUCUUUUGGCUUCCUAUUCUAUUGCAGCGGGACGAGUCCAGCAAUGCUGUUUGCUGGGCUGCAGAAAUAGGUCUAAUCAGCUCAAAGUAA